AUUGGAUGGGUGUAGGCAUUGGAAGGGUGUAGGCAUUGGAAGGGUGUAGGCAUUGGAAGGGUGUAGGCAUUGGAAGGGUGUAGGCAUUGGAAGGGUGUAGACAUUGGAAGGGUGUAGACUCGCUCUAGUGGAAGUUUUGACCAUAUUUCUUAUACCAGUCAUCAGGGCCAGCCUUACACUUUUGCAGUUUUGAAGCAAAUUGGAGACAGGACUUACUCAGAUGGCAUAUUAGCAUGGCGUAAGUAUCAUAUUAGCAUGGCGUAAG
ensembl:lncRNA